CGAUAGGUCAUAAUAUCUGGAAUGAUUUAUGGUUUAAAUCUAUAUGGCCUCUGGAUUGGACUGCGGCCGAUCAGGCUGUUGGUGAGGUAAUGGCCCACCAAACCUGAAACCGGUACGGGCUCUGAGAGGAGAAGCCCGGAGAUGGGCACUGAGGCAAGGGCCCAGGCCCUAUGGGGCGCAGCAGGCGCGAAAACUCUGCAAUAAGCGAAAGCUUGACAGGGUUAUUCUGAGUGAUUUCCGCUAAGGAAAUCUUUUGGCACCUCUAAAAAUGGUGCAGAAUAAGGGGUGGGCAAGCCUGGUGUCAGCCGCCGCGGUAAUACCAGCACCCCGAGUGGUCGGGACGAUUAUUGGGCCUAAAGCAUCCGUAGCCGGUUCUACAAGUCUUCCGUUAAAUCCACCUGCUUAACAGAUGGGCUGCGGAGGAUACUAUAGAGCUAGGAGGCGGGAGAGGCAAGCGGUACUUAGUGGGUAGGGGUAAAAUCCGUUGAUCCAUUGAAGACCACCAGUGGCGAAGGCGGCUUGCCAGAACGCACUCGACGGUGAGGGAUGAAAGCUGGGGGAGCAAACCGGAUUAGAUACCCGGGUAGUCCCAGCUGUAAACGAUGCAGACUCGGUGAUGAAUAGGCUUCGUGCCUAUUCAGUGCCGCAGGGAAGCCGUUAAGUCUGCCGCCUGGGGAGUACGGUCGCAAGACUGAAACUUAAAGG
rnacentral:rRNA from 1 species